UGACAGUUAUAAGCACUCUUCUAUGGCUUAACCUUCAGACAACCCUACAGGUUUGAGAACUAUUUUACAGAAAAGGAAAACGAUGACUUUCGGGCACAUGAAGUAAGAAUACACGGGAAUUUAAAUCAGGUUAAGCAAGUAUACCUCAGAGCUGCUGCAACAGGCAAGCAAUUCCAGAAGGGGUCUCUGCAGUGAUGUCACCUUCACAAAGGCACCAUUCUAGACAGUUUAUAUGAAUUAACUAUUUGGUCCUCAUAGCAACCCACUGAAGAUGGUAAUAUUAUUGACAUUUUACAGAGGUCAACACCAAGUAAAAUGCUACUACUUAUUUUUUAAUGCUAGUGGAUAAAGUCUCCAAGAAAUACUGAUUGUAAACCCUGGUAUCAGGUAACCAUAUAAUGUUAUGGAUCUUAGAGAAGAUAUUCUAAUAUUUUGCUUUUAAGUAUUGUGUUUGUUUUAGAAUUUUCCUAGUUCCCUUUCAUUUGGUUUUGGAAAUUACUCUCUAUCCCUAAGCU